GCCGGUGGAAGGCCCACUGCGUGCCACCGUUUCUGUGCAAUUUUGCACUCCCACCACGCGCGUCGACGUAGUGGCACAGGCUGCCAGGUGGGGGCCACGAGGCCGCUGCCCACCGCCCCCUUGGCGCCCCAUAACAUCCGCUCAGCUCAACCCGGAGAACGAGCGCGCGGGGCAACCGGCUAACUCCACCAAUGCCGCCGCUGCUCACCCUCUCCUCCUCGCCGGUGCUGCCGCCCAGGGCCCGGUUCAGGGUCUCGGCCUCCGCCGACGUCGGCGCCACCGGCCGAGCCGCCGCCGCCUCCAACGGCUUCCCGCCGUUCCUGCCCAGGGCGGUCGAGCGCAUCCGCGACGGCGCCGCCCUCCGCCUCGCCAAGCGAAUCGAGCGCGUGCCCGUCCAGACCGGCUUCUCGAAGAGCCCGAUACCGAGCAGCUGCGUGAGGCCACUCAAGCAGCAGCAGAGCGCCGAUCCGGUCGUGCUGCUCCACGGCUUCGACAGUUCUUGUUUAGAGUGGAGGUACACCUACCCUUUGCUGGAGGAUGCUGGGCUGGAGACUUGGGCUGUGGACAUUCUUGGAUGGGGCUUCUCUAAUUUAGAAACAAGGCCACCGUGUGAUAUCGUAUCUAAGCGCGAGCAUCUUUAUCAGUUCUGGAGAUCCUACAUCAAAAGGCCUAUGGUACUAGUUGGGCCUAGCCUGGGUGCUGCUGUUGCCAUUGAUUUCGCAGUCAACUAUCCGGAAGCGGUAUCAAAAUUAAUCUUCAUUGGUGCAAGUGUAUAUGCUGAGGGCACAAAAGAUAUGACCAGAAUGCCUAAAUUUGUUCCAUAUGCUGGGGUUUUUGUACUGAAGAGUCUUCCUCUGCGACUAUUCGCUACACGCUUGGCAUUUUAUAAAAUUCCAGAUGGAUUAUUUGAUUGGGUGCAGUGUGCAGGUGUCACCACGCGCAAUUGGAACCAUUUAGUUUCCUCUUUACUUUUGGGUUUCAAGUCAUGUGUUUUUUCUUUUAUUAAUUUAUUAUUCAUUACAGAUUGGCCGUCUACACUGCCUGCUUCCUUGGUGGGAAGAUGCUACGGUUAAUUUUAUGAUUACUGGAGGUUAUAAUGUCAUAAACCAAAUAAAGCAGGUAAAGCAAAAAUGCCUGGUCUUAUGGGGAGAGGAUGAUGGAAUUAUUAGCAAUAAGCAAGCAUAUCGGUUACAGCAGGAACUCCCCAGCGCAAUUUUAAGGCAGGUAGGGCAGUGCGGCCACAUUCCUCAUGUCGAGAAGCCGAGGGAGGCGGCAAAGCAUGUGCUCGACUUCCUCGAGGGCGAUAGCUUGGACAAGGCGGACCAGGCUUCUUCCCUAUCAUCAACUCUGGUAUCAACAUGAGGACCCCGUGAACAGAGGACCAGACCCCCCAGGCUAGCGUGCACGAGGUAACAUUGUACACGGCGCACUUGUGCUGUUUACGCUCGCCCCAGCGGCAUCCUGUCUGCGUUCUGGACCGGCUUGGAGCAGCCGAGUUGAUCAGCGUACGUACAGGCCCUGAGGCCACCUCGCCCGUGGAGAUGGAAAAGGUUGCACUGGACUAGUGAACUCAAACAGCUAUUCAGAGGCAGAAACGUGUCUCUGUCUCUGCGCGUCCGUCAGCCCCUCUUCUUUAGCUUGCUGGUUUAGAUUAGCACUAGAAAAGUGUACGUAUCGGUUGUUACAGUCACACGGUGGUCUCGAUCGAGCAUGCCCGUCGGUCUCGUUGUUGUAUCGACACAUAUAGUAAGUCUGCAUAUGGAUGCGGCCGCCCACGUGCGAACUUAUUUGUGCUGACAUCGAUGAUAUUUUUUCCUGGCUUCUCCCCUGCCCUUA